GAUGAACGCUGGCGGCGUGCCUAAUACAUGCAAGUCGAGCGAAUGGAUUAAGAGCUUGCUCUUAUGAAGUUAGCGGCGGACGGGUGAGUAACACGUGGGUAACCUGCCCAUAAGACUGGGAUAACUCCGGGAAACCGGGGCUAAUACCGGAUAAUAUUUUGAACCGCAUGGUUCGAAAUUGAAAGGCGGCUUCGGCUGUCACUUAUGGAUGGACCCGCGUCGCAUUAGCUAGUUGGUGAGGUAACGGCUCACCAAGGCAACGAUGCGUAGCCGACCUGGGAGGGUGAUCGGCCACACUGGGACUGAGACACGGCCCAGACUCCUACGGGAGGCAGCAGUAGGGAAUCUUCCGCAAUGGACGAAAGUCUGACGGAGCAACGCCGCGUGAGUGAUGAAGGCUUUCGGGUCGUAAAACUCUGUUGUUAGGGAAGAACAAGUGCUAGUUGAAUAAGCUGACACCUUGACGGUACCUAACCAGAAAGCCACGGCUAACUACGUGCCAGCAGCCGCCGUAC
rnacentral:rRNA from 1 species